ensembl:snRNA U6 U6 spliceosomal RNA
GUGCUCACUUUGGCAGCACGUAUAAAAUUGGAAUGAUACAGAGUAGAUUAGCAUGGACCCUGUACAAGGAUGACACACAAAUUUGCGAAGCAUUCCAUAUUUCA